rnacentral:rRNA from 1 species
ACCACAGUUAACCCUAUUUGGAACAAGAUAUGGAAGUUAUCUUCUCCAGCAAAGGUUAAAAAAUUAAUAUGGCGUACACUACAUGGAACACUCCCAUGCCGAGUUACGCUCGCUAAUAGACAUACGAAGGUCUCGCCCAUUUGUCCCACUUGCUCUGAGGGCUUAGAAGAUACGAAGCAUAUGCCAUUCCGUUGUAGUAAAGCAAAGGAGGUUUGGGAAAGGCUGGGGAUGAAUGAUAUUAUUGAUAAAGCUUGCGAGAUUGACUGUGCUGAAGAGGCGGUGUUGGAGUACUUACUACUUCUUCUGGACCAAGAUUUGAGGAUAAUGGGUUACCACAAUGUGUGUGAGAUGAUUGCUGUCUCAGCAUGGUAUUUGUGGUGGGAAAGACGGAAGUUGGUGCACAAGGAGAAAACUGCACUUUAGAUUUCAAUGGGGGUUCUAGCCCUUACCACAAACUUCGUAAAUGCAUUGUCCCCCAAAACUUCCGCGAAGAAGCAGGGAUGGUCUUGUCCUCCUAGAGGUUUUGUGAAACUUAAUGUUGAUGCUUAUUUUGACCAUGACCUACUUAGGGGAACGAUGGCAGCGGUCCUAAGAGACGACAGAAGCAGAUUUAUUGGUGGAGGGAAUGGGAAGAUUGACUAUUGCGCGGAUGUAUUGAUGGUAGAAGCUUUAGCCCUCAAGUUUGGUCUAACACUGGUGCAAGGGGCGGGAUGUAAUCACAUUAUUAUUAACUCAGACAACAUGGAGGUGAUUGAUACUAUGCAGUAUGGAGGACAGACAGCGGGCGCGGUAGUAGAAGUCUUCAAUGAUUGUUUUCAUUAUGCAUGUGAUUUCAUUACUACUAGAUUUGAACACUGUAACACAGAAUCAAAUAAAGUAGCUCAUGAGCUUGCUAGAUUAGCUAGAUUUUCUUUGACUUCUGUUUGGUUCGAGGAACCGUUAAAUGAAAUUGUAAUGCUCCUCACAAAUGAUGUACUAUUUAUCUCUAAUGGAUAA